GGUCUUUGAAUGUAUUGUCACAUAAAUUACAUGAUGUGUACUGAUGCAGGUAAAGUUAGUGUUCCCAAGCAGCUAGUGAUCAUCAAGGAUCCUUCAUCGAUUCCUGAUGCAGUUUCCAAAGCUGGACUAACAUUGCCGUUAGGUAACAUUAUCUAUUAUGAUUUUCUCACUGAUGUUUGUGCAGCAGUGACAUCAUGGAUGCAGUAAUUAGGAAAAAUUGUGCUUUGUAUAUGGCUUCGCAAUCUUAAAUUCCCGGAUGGAUAUGUGUCGAAUAUAGGCCGAUGUGUUGAUAUGCGAAAGCUAAAGCUUUUUGGUAUGAAAAGCCAUGACUGUCAUGUCUUUAUGCAGAGAUUACUCCCAAUAGCAUUUCGGGAAUUGCUUCCAUCAAAUGUUUGGCAGGCAUUAACAGAAAUGAGUAAUUUUUUUAGAGAGCUCACUUCGACUGUACUCCAAGAAGAAAACACGUUAAGGCUUAAUAAAGAAAUUCCUCUAAUUAUUUGCAAAUUAGAGUGUAUAUUUCCCCCAAGCUUUCUUGAUUCAAUGGAGCAUCUUCCGGUGCAUUUGGCUUAUGAAGCAUGGAUUGCGGAUCCAGUACAAUAUCGAUGGAUGUAUCCAUUUGAGAGAUAUCUCAGAAAACUGAAAAAGAAUGUGAGAAAUAAAGCAAGAGUUGAAGGCUCCAUAUGCAAUGCCUACUUAGUUGAGGAAGCAACAUCAUUUUGCACACAUUAUUUUGAACCACAUGUAAGGACAAGACAUCGAAAGAUACCCCGUAAUGAUGAUGGUGGAGAAGAUGCAUAAGAACAUUUUGGCAACUUAUCAAUUUUCAUACGUCCCGGUAGAACAUUGGGAAAAGGAAAAAUUAAAUAUCUUAAUGAAGAUGAAUAUGCAGCAGCACAAAUGUACAUCUUAUUAAAUUGUCUAGAAGUGCAACCAUUUACCAAGUAUGACUACUUUUUUUUUUAUUAAGAAGAUUACGUACUUCACCUCUGCCUAUAUACUAAUAUAAGGCGGAGGUGAAGUACGUAAUGCAUGCGGGAUCAUCAUCAUCUUCUACUUCUACUCCUUGUGCUAGUGGAGGGGUUACCCCUAAUGGCGAGCCUACUAUGCAUGCUAGAGAUACCCCGACAUCAUCCAUGGAUUGCUUGCCCCUUACUAUUGAUGAGUCAAGAAGACCACGCAUAAAGCUAGUAAAUGGAAUGUUGCAUCCCUCAGAUGUCUGUGCUUGAAAAAUUACAUUCAUCUUUAAGGAAAGAAUGGAUGAGAAUGGAUACAAUUGGAAGAAUGUCUCUAAGGAGACAAAAGACUUCUAUUGGAAUG